rnacentral:rRNA from 1 species
GGAUGAACGCUAGCGUACAGGCUAACACAUGCAAGUCGAGGGUAACGUGAGGAAGCUUGCUCCCUGACGACGACCGGCGAAUGGGUGAGUAACGCGUAUCCAACCUGCCGCACGCCCGGGAACAGCCCUUGGAAACGAGGAUUAAAUCCCGAUACCUUAUUAUUCCGCAAUGGAGAAAUAAGAAAACAGGCAUGCGAUGGGGAUGCGUCUGAUUAGCUUGUUGGCGGGGUAACGGCCCACCAAGGCGACGAUCAGUAGGGGUUCUGAGAGGAAGGUCCCCCACAUUGGAACUGAGACACGGUCCAAACUCCUACGGGAGGCAGCAGUGAGGAAUAUUGGUCAAUGGGCGAGAGCCUGAACCAGCCAAGUAAGCGUGAAGGAUGACUGCCCUACGGGUUGUAAACUUCUUUUGUCCAGGAAUAAAAAAUCCCUCGUGAGGGGUCUUGCAGGUACUGGUUGAAUAAGGACCGGCUAAUUCCGUGCCAGCCGCUGC